AUGGCUCAGGAUGAACGCUAGCUACAGGCUUAACACAUGCAAGUCGAGGGGAAACGACAUCGAAAGCUUGCUUUUGUAUGGGCGUCGACCGGCGCGACGGGUGAGUAACGCGUAUCCAACCUUCCCCAUAGUCAGGAAUAGCCCGGCGAAAGUCGAAUUAAUGCCUGAUGUUUUCCACGGACGGCAUCUGAUGUGGAACAAAGAUUCAUCGCUAUGGGAUGGGGGAUGCGUCUGAUUAGCUUGUUGGCGGGGUAACGGCCCACCAAGGCAACGAUCAGUAGGGGUUCUGAGAGGAAGGUCCCCCACAUUGGAACUGAGACACGGUCCAAACUCCUACGGGAGGCAGCAGUGAGGAAUAUUGGUCAAUGGGCGGAAGCCUGAACCAGCCAAGUAGCGUGAGGGAUGACUGCCCUAUGGGUUGUAAACCUCUUUUAUAAGGGAAUAAAAUACGGGACGUGUCCUGUUUUGCAUGUACCUUAUGAAUAAGGACCGGCUAAUUCCGUG
rnacentral:rRNA from 1 species